UUCAAAAACAAACUUCAGAUAAUCAUAACUGUUUUAAAGACAAUAAAACACUGGAUUGUAUGGUCAUAGGGUGGGAGGGAGGGUUAUUUUAGAGUUGUAUGGCAAAGAAGGCCUCUCAUGUGGUAGGCAGCCUUCAAGAGGGCCCUCAAUGACUUCUGCCUUCUAGCAUUAACACUCCUGUAGUUCCUUUCCACAACGAAUAGUGCUGACCUGGAUCGCCAACAGGGUAUUGCAGAAAUGAUGGUGUGUGAUUUCUGAGGUGAGGUCAUAAAAGACAUUGUGGCUUCUGCCUUGCUCUCUCAGAUUGCUCUAUGUGGGGAAAGCCAGCACCAUGUCAUGAGGAUGCUCCAGCAGCCCACUGAGCAGCCUAUAUGGGGAAGAACUGAGACCUCCUGCCAAUAAGCAGCACCACAUAAGUGAACCAUCUUGGAAAGAGAUCCUCCAGCCCCAGUCGAGCCUUCAGAAGACAACCUUCGAGCCUCUCUUUGCCAACAUCUUGCUGCAACCUCAGGAGAGACCUCAAGCCAAAACCACCCAGAUUUUCUGUUUAUUGGUAGCCAAAGGGUGAGGAGCUGUCUGAAAGUAGAACAGCGGAAGAUGCCUUCACUGAAACCUGGAACUGAGGAAGAAUGACAAGACUGAAAAUGGUUAUUGUCAAUUCAUUCCAUGUGUGGUACUCUACCCGUAAGGCACCUACUAGAGACCAUUCCUCCUUCCUAUUCCUUGGAAAAGAAAACCUUGUUUCCUGCUCAU